AUUGAACGCUGGCGGCAUGCCUUACACAUGCAAGUCGAACGGCAGCAUAGGAGCUUGCUCCUGAUGGCGAGUGGCGAACGGGAGAGUAAUAUAUCGGAACGUGCCCUAGAGUGGGUGAUAACUAGUCGAAAGACUAGCUAAUACCGCAUACGAUCUACGUAGGAAAGUGGGGGAUCGCAAUGCCUCAUGCACCUGGAGCGGUCGAUAUCUGAUUAGCUAGUUGGUGGGGUAAAAGCCUACCAAGACAACGAUCAGUAGCUGGUCUGAGAGGACGACCAGCCACACUGGGACUGAGACACGGCCCAGACUCCUACGGGAGGCAGCAGUGGGGAAUUUUGGACAACGGGGGCAACCCUGAUCCAGCAAUGCCGCGUGAGUGAAGAAGGCCUUCGGGUUGUAAAGCUCUUUUGUCAGGGAAGAAACGGUAGUAGCGAAUAACUACUACUAAUGACGGUACCUGAAGAAUAAGAACCGGCUAACUACGUGCCAGCAGCCGCAGUAA
rnacentral:rRNA from 1 species